rnacentral:misc_RNA from 1 species
AUAAAAAUAAAAUAAAAUAAAAAACUUUUACUUUUUGCUUGUGGAAUUCAUUUUAAUAUCUUUUAAUAGGACAUUUUUACGAACAAGAAAACUUCCAUUCAUCUAACUACGAUAUAAUUGAUAAAACUCUGGCUGCCCUUGCCUGCCAAAUUUUUUAGUCUGCCACUGAUUAACAGUAGCCUUCAAGACAAUAAUUUAUCUUUACCCAUACAUAUGCACCAAACCAUCACAGCAUAUGAAAAUUUGAACCUAACAGAAAUAAGAAACAAGCAGAAAAUCCCUAUUUAAGAAGAAAACUCAUAGUUUCUUAAAUAGAAUCUUAAAUAGAAAAGCUACAGCUUUUGAAUAUUAAAGUUUACAAGAAAUCUUAAAUAAUCAAAUUCAAUUAUUAGAUAUUGAUACUUCUAAACAUAAUAUAUCAAUCUAGGUUAAAUAAUACAAGUUUUUGAACUCCAAAAGCGUCAAAACAGUAAAGGAGAUUUGUGUUAUAAUUUAUCUCUGCUUGAGAAUUAACAUUCUGCUUAUCAUCUCCAUUGAAGUCUUGGAUUCAUUUAAUGAACAUUAUUUUCCUUCAAUUUGCUAAGUUAAAAAAGAACAGUCAAAAAGAACAAUGAUGCUCUUUUAUGUGAUUGAAGACACAGUAGCAAGGACAAAGUAAUCCAGUUAUAAGGGAUCAAUAAGACCAUACUGAAAUAAGAUAGAAAUAUCACAAUAUUCUGAACUUACAUUAAACUUCUGGCCAAAUUUGGUCAUGCUGAGAAAAUUUUGGGUGGCCAGAAUACGUCAGAGUACUCAGGUAAUGUUGUUACUUUCUCAAUGAUGUGAUCCUCUAAUCGGAACAGGAAAAUGCUAUCACUUUUUAAUCCUUUUCCCUUAACAUCAUCAUCGUCUGUGAAGUAAACACAGUUCCCUUUACCUCCCAAAAAAUCAGUAGAUGAAAUGGAGAAAGAACAAUCCACACCCAAAACAAAGGCUCUAUCACCCAAU